UCAAAAACCUUCAGUAACUUUUUCCCGCUUGCAACAAUUGUAUUUGAUUCAGAAUUAUGUCCUAUAUUGGUGGGUGGAGUGUUACUUCUGGGUACCCCUCAUCAUUCGUCUAUAAAAUGGUGAAGCCAGUUGCUACUGUUACCAUAAGAUCCAGCUCCGACUUUCUUUAAUUUCUUGCUUCAUAUCCACUAGCUACAUCUGUUGCCGAGUUAAUUUCAGUCCUAAUGGGGUUUCAUCUCCCACUCAUCUUUGCUAUUCUCAUUAGUUCAAAUUAAUGUUGCAGCUAGCAGCGGUGGCACUGGCAAUCCAUGCUGCGCAACCAGCACCUCAACUUUACUGGAACUCCGUCCUGCCAAACACACAGAUGCCAAGAUCUAUCAGUGAACUUCUGCAUCCUGGUUUGUGUUAAGCCAUUUAGAAUCUUAGAUAUUUUUUCUACCUGCCAUUUUACUGAAAUGUGUUCCGACCACAUAUUUAUCGGUUAA